ensembl:lncRNA
AGCCUCAUGAGCAAACACGCCCCCCGCCCGAGUAUUUCUGCAGAUCUUCACUGAGUACAGCUAAAGUCAAUCAAAAGUUUGAGGACACUUCCUGGAAACAAAUCCUUCUUCACAUUAGGUCGGCAAUGAAAUGUGUGUCCAGCUCAACAUCUGUCCCCAGCACUUCUGCAGCAAUUCGUACAAAUUUAGGAUACUUGUGGAGUGCUUUGCUUUUACUUUUCUGUUCAGCUUGUCCCAUACAAGCAGUACCCAGGCUGCCUGAACAGAGCUGUAAGUUUUUACAGUCAUUCAGCUGACAAUUUUCUCCAAAGCAACUUACAGCGUUAAGACUACAAUUAUUUAGACAGCUGGGUAAUUUUACUGGAACAAUUUAAAGUAAGUACUUUGUUCAAGGGGGUGCGGUGGCGCAGUGGGUUGGACCACAGCCCUGCUGUCCAGUGGGUCUGGGGUUCGAGUCCUGCUUGGCGUACCUUGCGACGGACUGGCGUCCCGUCCCCCUCCCCCUCCGGCCUUACACCCUGUGUUGCCGGGUAGGCUCCGGUUCCCCGCGACCCCGUAUGGGACAAGCGGUUCUGAAAAUGUGUGUGUACUUUGUUCAAUGGUAUUACAGCCAGGGGCAGGGAUCCAACCUGUGGGACCAAAGGCAGUAGUACUAACCACCACAGUAUGUACUGCCAGGUGUCCCAAGCUGCCCCAACUUUUAGUGUCCCACUGACUGAGCAGCUCUUCAGCUCUGGAUCAUGUCCGUCCUGGUCAACGGGCUGCUUCACCGGUUCAGCCCACCUGUCCGGUUCCUCUUCCUCGGUGCUCCUCCAGCCUGCUCACUGGCUGACUCCACCUUACCAUACGUGACCCUGAAAGCGUGGAGAAGGAAAAAAAGGGAAGCGUUGCUGCUGGCAGUGAAAGGGUUACGGAGAGAGAGAAACUGAGAGGUGUUCAUGUACUGCUGCCGCCACUGCUGCUGGACGCGGCGUCUCUGUCGCCAAGCAGCGCUGCGCUUUCGCAGAGCGCUCACCCUUCGCUCUUCGCACUUUUUCAGCCCCUUGGUGCUCGGACUCUUGUUUUUUUUUUUUUCUUCUUUUUUCUUUUUUUUUUGUGAAGAAACGGGAGGAAUUCGCCUUGAGUAUCGACGCCGGGGUCCGGGGACGGACAGGGACAGAUAGAGAGCGAGAGAGAGAGAGAGAGAGCCCGUCCAGGGAGGGAGCAGCGCAACUCGCAUCGCCGGGGCUGAGCCGCGAGAGGGGGGCGCCAGCGGAGGAGAGCGCCCUGAGGAGCCUCUGCCGCCCUCGGACGGAGCAAGCAUGCAGCCCGGGAGACCGGCGACCGCAGGGCAGCACGGCACCGAGGCGUCCACGUCACCUGGGAGCCGGCCGGACCUGUGGGCUCCGUGGGCACAUCACGCGCUCGCGUGAAGGACAGCGGGGAAGAGGGACGCGUCCACUAUGUUCCGAGGGUGUGCUGUACAGAGGGUCAAAGGCUCCGCUGACAAGCAGGUAAAGAGGGACUGACACCGGUUCCCGCACUUCUUUUUUUAUCUUAAUUUUUCUCAUG